rnacentral:rRNA from 1 species
AGUCUGAAGGGCUUACCUGACACGCUGAGAGGAGAUGCAUGGCCGACGUCAGCCUGUGCCGUGAGGUGACCAGUUAAAUCUGGUAACAGGCGAGACCCGUGUGCAUAUUUACUACGUGUACAAUAUGCAGACUGCCGUGGUAACACGGAGGAAGGUGCGGGCUACGUUAGGUGAGUACGUCCCGAAUGCCCUGGGCUACACGCGCGCGGCAAUGCUGCAUUCAAAGGGAUGCGACACCGAAAGGUGAAGCCAAUCUCAUAAACUGCAGCUUAGUUCAGAUUGAGGGUUGCAACUCACCCUCAUGACGCUGGAAUUCGUAGUAAUCGUUCGUUAUCAGCGAACGGUGAAUAAGUCACUGCUCCUUGCACACACCGCCCGUCAAACCAACCGAGUUUAGCAUUGACGAGGACCGUCAGGUACGAAUCUUUGUUAGACAAGGUAGGUUAAGUCGUCACAAGGUAUCCGUAGGGGAACCUGCGGAUGGAUCACCUCCUAA